rnacentral:rRNA from 1 species
GAGUUUGAUCCUGGCUCAGGAUGAACGCCCUUUACAGGCUUAACACAUGCAAGUCGAGGGGCAGCGGGGGCGAAGCUUGCUUCGCCUGCCGGCGACCGGCGCACGGGUGAGUAACACGUAUGCGACCUGCCCCCCGCAGGGGGAUAACCGGGAGAAAUCCCGACUAAUACCGCGUAACGCCGCUGGGCUGCAUGGCCCGGCGGCCAAAGGAAGCGAUUCCGGCGGGGGAUGGGCAUGCGGCGCAUUAGCUAGUCGGCGGGGUAACGGCCCACCGAGGCGACGAUGCGUAGGGGUUCUGAGAGGAAGGUCCCCCACACUGGUACUGAGACACGGACCAGACUCCUACGGGAGGCAGCAGUGAGGAAUAUUGGUCAAUGGGCGGGAGCCUGAACCAGCAAAGUCGCGUGAGGGAUGACGGUCCUACGGAUUGUAAACCUCUUUUGCCGGGGAGCAACGGGGUCCUUGCGAGGGCCCGAUGAGAGUACCCGGAGAAAAAGCAUCGGCUAACUCCGUGCCAGCAGCCGCGGUAAUACGGAGGAUGCGAGCGUUAUCCGGAUUUAUUGGGUUUAAAGGGUGCGUAGGCGGGCUGUUAAGUCAGCGGUCAAAUGUCGGGGCUCAACCCCGGCCUGCCGUUGAAACUGGCGGCCUCGAGUGGGCGAGAAGUAUGCGGAAUGCGUGGUGUAGCGGUGAAAUGCAUAGAUAUCACGCAGAACUCCGAUUGCGAAGGCAGCAUACCGGCGCCCGACUGACGCUGAGGCACGAAAGCGUGGGUAUCGAACAGGAUUAGAUACCCUGGUAGUCCACGCAGUAAACGAUGAAUGCUAGCUGUCCGGUUGUACGGGACUGGGUGGCACAGCGAAAGCGUUAAGCAUUCCACCUGGGGAGUACGCCGGGCAACGGUGAAACUCAAAGGAAUUGACGGGGGCCCGCACAAGCGGAGGAACAUGUGGUUUAAUUCGAUGAUACGCGAGGAACCUUACCCGGGCUCAAACGCCAAAGGACAGCCGUUGAAAGGCGGCCUCCCUCUGGGGUCUUUGGCGAGGUGCUGCAUGGUUGUCGUCAGCUCGUGCCGUGAGGUGUCGGCUUAAGUGCCAUAACGAGCGCAACCCCCAUCGACAGUUGCUAACGGGUAGAGCCGAGGACUCUGUCGAGACUGCCGGCGCAAGCUGCGAGGAAGGCGGGGAUGACGUCAAAUCAGCACGGCCCUUACGUCCGGGGCGACACACGUGUUACAAUGGCCGGUACAGCGGGAUGCCAGGGCGCGAGCCCGAGCGGAACCCGAAAACCGGUCUCAGUUCGGAUUGGAGUCUGAAACCCGACUCCAUGAAGCUG